GUGUUGUAUGAAAGGAGAGAAGGUUAGCACUCCCCUUGACAAGGAUGGAAGAGGCCAUCAGGCCUGAAUAAUAUGCAUAUGGUUAAGGUAUUGACACCUACUUCAGGACAUCUAACCAUUGAUUUUC
rnacentral:ncRNA from 1 species